rnacentral:rRNA from 1 species
GUCGAACGAUACCUUUUAGCUUGCUAGAAGGGAAAGUGGCGCACGGGUGCGUAACGCGUAUGCAACCUACCUUAAUCAGGGGGAUAGCCCGAAGAAAUUCGGAUUAACACCGCAUAAAAUCACAGUACAGCAUUGUACAAUGAUCAAAUAUUUAUAGGAUUAAGAUGGGCAUGCGUGACAUUAGUUAGUUGGCGGGGUAACGGCCCACCAAGACCACGAUGUCUAGGGGAUCUGAGAGGAUGACCCCCCACACUGGUACUGAGACACGGACCAGACUCCUACGGGAGGCAGCAGUAAGGAAUAUUGGUCAAUGGAGGCAACUCUGAACCAGCCAUGCCGCGUGCAGGAAGACAGCCCUCUGGGUCGUAAACUGCUUUUAUUCGGGAAUAAACCUACUUACGUGUAAGUAGCUGAAUGUACCGAAGGAAUAAGGAUCGGCUAACUCCGUGCCAGCAGCCGCGGUAAUACGGAGGAUCCAAGCGUUAUCCGGAUUUAUUGGGUUUAAAGGGUGCGUAGGCGGCUUUUUAAGUCAGGGGUGAAAGACGGUGGCUCAACCAUCGCAGUGCCCUUGAUACUGAAGAGCUUGAAUGAAUUAGAGGUAGGCGGAAUGUGACAAGUAGCGGUGAAAUGCAUAGAUAUGUCACAGAACACCGAUUGCGAAGGCAGCUUACUAUGAUUUUAUUGACGCUGAGGCACGAAAGCGUGGGGAUCAAACAGGAUUAGAUACCCUGGUAGUCCACGCCCUAAACGAUGAAUACUCGCUGUUAGCGAUACACAGUUAGCGGCUAAGCGAAAGCGUUAAGUAUUCCACCUGGGGAGUACGGUCGCAAGAUUGAAACUCAAAGGAAUUGACGGGGGCCCGCACAAGCGGAGGAGCAUGUGGUUUAAUUCGAUGAUACGCGAGGAACCUUACCCGGGCUUGAAAGUUAGUGAAUCAUUUAGAGAUAGAUGAGUCCGCAAGGACACGAAACUAGGUGCUGCAUGGCUGUCGUCAGCUCGUGCCGUGAGGUGUUGGGUUAAGUCCCGCAACGAGCGCAACCCCUAUGUUUAGUUGCCAGCACGUUAAGGUGGGGACUCUAAACAGACUGCCUGUGCAAACAGAGAGGAAGGAGGGGACGACGUCAAGUCAUCAUGGCCCUUACGUCCGGGGCUACACACGUGCUACAAUGGAUGGUACAGAGGGCAGCAAGCUGGUAACAGCAAGCAAAUCUCCAAAAGCCAUUCACAGUUCGGAUAGAGGUCUGCAACUCGACCUCUUGAAGUUGGAUUCGCUAGUAAUCGUAUAUCAGCAAUGAUACGGUGAAUACGUUCCCGGGCCUUGUACACACCGCCCGUCAAGCCAUGGAAGUUGGGGGUACCUAAAGUAUGUAACCGCAAGGAG